rnacentral:rRNA from 1 species
CCUACGGGAGGCAGCAGUGGGGAAUAUUGGACAAUGGGCGAAAGCCUGAUCCAGCCAUGCCGCGUGUGUGAAGAAGGCCUUCGGGUUGUAAAGCACUUUCAGUGGGGAAGAAAGCCUUGGGGCUAAUACCCUCGAGGAAGGACAUCACCCACAGAAGAAGCACCGGCUAACUCCGUGCCAGCAGCCGCGGUAAUACGGAGGGUGCGAGCGUUAAUCGGAAUUACUGGGCGUAAAGCGCGCGUAGGCGGUCUGGUAAGCCGGUUGUGAAAGCCCCGGGCUCAACCUGGGAACGGCAUCCGGAACUGUCAGGCUAGAGUGCAGGAGAGGAAGGUAGAAUUCCCGGUGUAGCGGUGAAAUGCGUAGAGAUCGGGAGGAAUACCAGUGGCGAAGGCGGCCUUCUGGACUGACACUGACGCUGAGGUGCGAAAGCGUGGGUAGCAAACAGGAUUAGAUACCCGGGUAGUC